rnacentral:rRNA from 1 species
AUUGAACGCUAGCGACAGGCCUAACACAUGCAAGUCGAGGGGCAGCAUAAAGGUAGCAAUACUUUGGUGGCGACCGGCGCACGGGUGAGUAACACGUAUGCAACCUACCUGUAAGAGGGGAAUAACCCGGAGAAAUUCGGACUAAUACCGCAUAAUACUGAUUAUCUGCAUGGAUUGAUCAGUUAAACAUUUAUGGCUUACAGAUGGGCAUGCGUAUGAUUAGAUAGUUGGUAGGGUAACGGCCUACCAAGUCAACGAUCAUUAGGGGUUCUGGGAGGAAGGUCCCCCACACUGGUACUGAGACACGGACCAGACUCCUACGGGAGGCAGCAGUGAGGAAUAUUGGUCAAUGGGCGAGAGCUUGAACCAGCCAAGUCGCGUGAAGGAAGAAGGUUCUAUGGAUUGUAAACUUCUUUUGUAAGGGAAUAAAAAGAGUUACGUGUAACUUAUUGUAUGUACUUUACGAAUAAGGAUCGGCUAACUCCGUGCCAGCCGCCGCAGUAAAAC